AGAGUCUUUCUCUCCUUAUCCCCCGAGCAUUUCGGUCCCUCGUGAUUCGACUUCUCUUUCUGUAGUUUUAGUAUAGUAAGGUGAGCGCUGAAGCGCUGCACGAAUCUUUCUUAGAAAGAUUCAGCGACGAAGUUCUGCCCCUACAGAGCCCGACUCCUAGCUAAAAUCCCCUUGUAAGUUUCGUCGAAGGAAAUUAUUUUAAAGUAAACGAAGCGCUGUCCGAGUACCGAGUCACCACCUUCUCAAGUGUUGAUAUGAAGUGACACUACACUGAGAGAUUUAAAGAGAUGUAGAUCACUAGUGUAAAUAAUUGUAAGUUCUGUUUAUGCUUAUGUUUCUGUAUUAACGAUGACAUCCCAAACGUUUUAAAAUGAAAUAAAUACGUUUCUUCGAAAAUGUUUUAAUAACGUAUUUACCAUGUUUUUCUGGGAACAAAUUCCGCAACAUUUUUAUAAAAUGAAGUACUCUGAUUUUUAUAAAGCAUAAACAACAUCGGUCUUUUUUGGCCGUGAAAAUGGGGAU